AUUUAUAUAAUAUAUAUAGUAUAUUUGACUUCC
rnacentral:tRNA from 1 species